CUCCCUCUUCAUGCACAUCGCCGCGGUUGAAAGAGAUAAAGACAAUUGCUGAAGAAGAUAAGAGAUGUUUAAGCUCCGUGUAAUUGUUGCCGCAAUUGUAUGCCUACAAUUGCAUGCGUUUACAUAUCCAAGAAAGCUCCAUAAAUCCUUUUGGAAUUACAACAACGAGAAUACUGUGAUGUACAGAGUUGAUGCACAACAUAAGCGGAUAUAUCUUCCAAUCUGCAAGAUAGACUGCAG
rnacentral:misc_RNA from 1 species